UUUCUUUGUUGAAGAAAACUAGAAACCAAGAGGGAGUUCCUUUAAUGUCAUAGCUAAAAUUAUAAACUUGAGUAACUCCUCAUGUGCUCCCCUUGAAUACUUAUUAUACUCAACUCAUACAGACACAGAAGCAAUGUCUGUUUUGCAAAACCAAGAAUUCUACCAAGAAUUUUAAUUCUAGGCAGGUCUUUCAGGUUAUAAUUUGUCUGAAUAUCACAAACAUUCAAAUAUCUGUACCUGCAGCUAACUGUCCCAUACAGAUGAAAAGGCUGUGACUACCUUAAACAAGAAAAGAGAUCCCCUCAAAAAACAUUCAACCUAUUUUUUCAGGUAAAUGUUCAAUCUUUACAGAAAUAAAGGAAACAGCAGCCAAAGGAAACUAUGGGUAGGUGGGUAAUUUUCAAGUUGUUGUCAAAAGCCAUUCAUACAUGAAACUUGUAAAAUUUGUCUAAAGCUUUGCUGUGUUCAGUCUCUAGGCAAAAACAGGGCUAGAACACAGGAAAUCUGCAUGGAUGGGAAUAAAGCAUUUUGUUAAAGAGAAGAUGAUUUAAAACUUGAACUUCUAAAUGUAACUACUAAAAGUGAUGUUUUAUAUAGAAAAAAAAAAUCUCAGAACCACCAGAAAACAUCAUUUCCUUUAAAGCAGUUAUGUAAGACAAUGUUUGGAGUCUCAUCUGGAAUGCUGUGUGUCUUUCUGGUCACUCACCUUUAAAAUGGAUUAACUCAAAAGAGCAAAAUUAGCAAAAGAGUCAUCAAAAUCCUACUUUAAAAAAGAGUGUUAUCCAUCAGAAGAAGGGUGGCAUGGGGCAUGAUCUCUGGUUCUCAAGAGUAAAUGCUAUAUAAAGCAGCAAAAUCAGUGCUGAUACAAGAAGAAAUCGGUAUAAAUUAAUCAGGAAUAAUCCUAGAAGCAAUCUUAUAAACUGCAUUUACCUGUUUGUAGUGCAGGUCUUCAUAUAAUUCUGGGGACAAAACACCUAAUUCAUUUUAAGAUAUACGUCCACACAUUUACAAAAGGGAUUAUACAACAUGGAUCCUUGUUGUAGCAGGCAAGGAAUAAGAUUUUUUUCUCCAUUCUUGUGUUCCUACAGAUCUGGAGCUGCGAUAACAUGGAAGGAGGGGGGCUACCUACUCUACAGUACAAGGUUCAGCUGUGCUGCCAUUGUUAUUACUCAUUAAUUGGAUUUAAUUGCUAUAUGAUUAAAGUAGAUAGUAAGAGUAAACACUAUUAAUUCCUGUGGAGUCAGGGGAGAAUUUCUUUAUAUCUUGCUGUAAACAAGUUAAUGUCAGGAGGCACUGAACGUGUAGCCUGCCUGAAUGUGUGGCAGAUCUACAUUUGAAAUGUGUAAAACUAUCUUUGGAGAAUCAGUAAAAUAAAUUUGGCAUUUUUUCAAUUAUGUAAUCACUGUAGUAAAGAUGAGGGACAGUUACUUUGUUUAUAUUUCAGCAGCUACCAUUUUCUCCGAGUUCAGUAUUCAAGUAAAUUUGCCUUAUCCUGUUAUCAUUAAUUAAAAUCAGUAGGAAUGGGCCACAUUUAGAUAUUUAAUAAUUUUUAAUCUUCAUACCUGGAGGACCUUCUAAGAAAUAUUUCCACAUAUUAUAAAUUUGCUUAACGAGUAUAACCUUCAUCCUGUUCAGCAUGCAUAAUUAGAGAUUAAUUUGUCGUGUCAGGGAUUUAAAAUAUUUUAGCUCACCUUUAAGCAACAACACAUUAAAUUAUAUAGGAGAAUGCAAUCGCCUUCAAAGACAAAGUUUUAAGAGUGGACAUUAUUCAAUAGUGAGAAUGGAAAUGGCCUGAGUUCUUUGUAGUAAUUCUUAAGUUUCUAUAUUGGAAUCCAAACUUUGCUCUUGCCUAUGCAGUUAAACAGGCAGAAAUAUGGUUUUUUUUUUAAAGAGAACACAAAAGGAAAAGGCAUAUAGGCAAUUCUGCCGGCCAAUUUUCGAAUUUAAGUGAGAGAUUAUUUAAAUGCCACGUUUCAUGGAGGAGCUGGUGCUCCAUCUCAGCUCCCUGGGUACAAUCCUCCGUGCCUG
ensembl:lncRNA